CGCAGGUCAUCAGGUAUCCACUAACCACCAACUGGCCGAGUGGUCAACAAGACGCCACCUCGGUCGACUUGCCUACCUACUCGGCCACCCUCGGCUUGGUCUUGCCCGCACGCCGUGACCUGGCCCCCCACGGCUCCUUCAAGCUCAGAUGUCGUGUGAUGGUUGAGGAGUUGGAGUGGGUGACGGAGGUACAGGUGGGGGUAGAGAGGCCCUUACUAGGUGAACCCCACCACCUACCCGCCCUCCUCAACACAGCCGUGGCCCCCACUUCAGGUUGUGUUGUAUCACCCAGGAUGUCUAUCUUCCUGCUGGGGUUGAUGGUCCUCACCACCCUGUGUCUCACCCCUUGACACUCCAGCCAUGUGACACCCCAGUGACCCCAGCUAUGUGACACCCCAGCUAUGUUAUCCACCAGCCAUCGGACUCCACAACCAAGUGAAUUCAACCUAGUGACACCCCAGCCAAGUGACACCCAACCAAUUGACACCCCAGCCAAGUGACACCCAACCAAUUGACACCCCAGCCAAGUGACACCCAGCCAUGUGACACCCAACCAUUGACACCCCAGCCAAGUGACACCCCAGCCAAGUGACACCCAACCAAUUGACACCUCAGCCAAGUGACACCCAACCAAUUGACACCCCAGCCAAGUGACACCACAGCCAUGUGACACCCAACCAAUUGACACCCCAGCCAAGUGACACCCAAUCCAAGUGACACCCCAGCUAAUUGACACCCCGGCCAUGUGACCACAACCAAGUGACACCCUAGCUAAGUGAAACAGCAGGCAAGUGACACCCCAGUCAUCGGACUCCACAGCCAAGUGACCCACCAGGGUGAUACUUUUUAAAGGAGUUGACCCGAGAAAGCGUUCAAACUGUUUGCAUUUUCUAUGAGAUCGUUAGUAGAAGAAAAUGUGAUACGUGGAAGGUAAACUAAACUAUCAAAGGGGUAAUAAACUUGUGGCAUUAAUACUGACGUUCAUCCUUGAUCUAUGUAAUCCGUUUAAUCUUUGGUGGGUCAAGAUUAUUUAUUUGUGAACUUCCUGGUCCCUUCUGCUCGGCUUGUGGUGGGGUGAUAUAGGCGUGGCUGGCUAUGGGAUGUACACAGCAUAUUGCCUUUUCUUAGGCUAUCCUGGGUCGAAUCCUGUUUACCAUUGUUUGAAUACUUGAACUGUCUCUGUGUAGGCCUACAUUGUACACCUGCUCUAUGUACUGUACAUAAUUGUAUACCAGCACUGUCUAUAUACAUUGUGUAUCUUCACUGUUUAUGUACAUUAUUUGUAUACCUGCAAAAUGUACAUUGUAUACCUGCACUCUAUGUAUUCGCUGAAUCAAUGUGACCUUGUAUAAAAAGUUUACUGAAUAAAUGUCUAUCUCUCGAAGCCUUCCAAACUAUGCAUGACUAAGUAAUACAAAGGUACACGGAAGAUACGUGUACAAAGUGACAAGCAAAAUGUCUAUCUUUUACUUACUGGUUUUACUUUUAUCCUCUUCGCCACUGAUCGGCUCGUUAGCCGCCCGGGUGAUCGG